CAGCAUCACGUUCCGUCAGCGAGUACUGUUUGAAGUGGAGGAAGAUUUGAGGUCCGAUGGUUUGCAUGUAAAACUAUAUUCUUAUUUGCUUUUUUUAGAUAGAGAUUAGCCUGUCUAGGCAUUGGUCACUAGGUUUGGGAAGGCUAGGUUUCAGGUCCAUAGUUCUACGAAUGGUAGGGUUAGGGUAAGUGUUGGUUCGGGGCUAGAUUUAGAUCUUUUUAGUGACAAGGUCCUUGUCGUUUGUUUGAUCUAUCGGUUUUGAUUUUGGUAGGUAGGCUUUGCCAUUAUUUUUCCUACUCCCUCAAGCAUGUCUAUGUGAGGGAAAUUUGUAAGACACUUCUUCAGUAAUGUACCUCAGAUUCAUCGGGUGUUUCGGCUCUUUCAACACUAGACACCCUCCUCUGAGGCGGCCCGCCUUAGGUGAUCAGUCCCAGGCGAGUGUCUUAUUGUCAAUUGCUAAAUGGGUUUGUUCAGAGCCCCAAUUGGAUGGUUGGGGUCUGGUUUUCUGGUCCUUAUUGAAGCAUUGUGUCCGACAUUAGUGGAUGGGGGUAUUUUUAAGGUAAGAUUUUUAAUUGUGCUUUUAAAGGCUGUUUAGACUUUUUAUUUAAGGUUUGGCAAUCUAAAAAGUUGAAUGUUUAGUUGAAAAAUGACAGCAGAAGCCGAUUAGAUUUUGGGUUAUCUGAAAAGUAAA